GCUCUGCCGUGCUCAUCCCGACGCCUCGCUCCCUUCUGCACGGUCUUAUCCUCUACUAAGACGCCAGCAGCAACAUUUAUUUUUUUUCUCUCUCCCGUGCCAUGCACCCUGCUGCACUCUUCUCUGUUCCUCCCUCCACUGCAGCAAGCAAACAGCAGCUCCCUCCAUUCUUUUCCCUCCUCUGCGUGAGCAAUGCAGCAAGCCAAGCGCACCCUUCCUUCUCUGAUAUUCUCUCUCUGUCGGUCACACUCUCCUCUCUCUCUCACUCCCUGCGCACUCACGUACACACACAACACAACAUUAACUCUCACACGUCUCUCUCCCAGCACACACGCACACAGUCUCCCACUCACAUGCACCCUGCUUUCUAUCUCGUCUGAUUUCCUUGCCCACCGCGAGCACCAGGGGAGCUCCCUCUCUCGAUCUCUUUUCCUUCACCGAACAGUAGCUCAAGAAUGCUCUUUUCCUUAUUUGCUUGCUUCUCCAAUCGACGCCACCCGACUGCACUAGCCGCCGCGCCACCAUGCCCCGUCGCCGGACGUCCUCGCCGCCGGCGGGAGCUGGUCGCCACGCCGCCGGCUAUGGUCCGGCCGUGACCUGUCUUCCCGGUGGAGCCGGAAUAUGCAUUUAUCGUUCACGAAGUUGCGGUUGAUCAAUCUGGAGUUCACCCAGGUGGAAUUGCCAUGGAUCAAGCUCGGCGUCAAGCAAACUAACUUAACCUGCAAUUAAGGCAAGCCCCGGUGCACAUCCUAUUAUUUGAAAUUAUGACACCUAUAUAUGUAUUUAUUACUUGUGCAUUA